AGCAGCCUGAGAACCAGAAAAGACCUGGAUUCAAACCUGGCCUCUGCCGCAUGCUGAUUGUGUGACCCUGGACAAGUCACUUCAUUUCCCAAUGCGCUGGAUAACUCUAUUCCAUGGAGGGGCCUUUGGAUGCCAUCUUACAAUAAUUGGAACGACAAUGAUCGGGUGAACAUCUUUGUGUCAAAUAUCUCAGAUAAGGCUCUGAUAUUCAAGAUAUGUAUAGACAACGCAUAGAAACAUAAGAUGAAACACCAUUCCGUAAUAAGGUCAUCUUUUAAAUACCAGUGCUCUGUUGGUGCUGACUGUGAGUCACUGAAUGCCCCAGUCUUCAGACAAUUAAGCUAGCGG